GGGUAGGAUGAAGGGACAGUCGUGGGACUGGGCCCAAGUUUCACAGUGAUACUCAGUCUUUUUCAUGAUAUCACAUAUACCAUAUUUUCCAGAGUAUGAGUCACACCUUUUUCUGUAUAUCAGGUCUUUAAUUUGGGACUUCUUUUUUUUAAAUUCUGU